UUAAAUAAAAACAAAUGAAUUGAUGUUGUUCAUUACCAAAUAAAUAACCCAAUCCCCGGAAAUGGACACUGUCUUACUAUUAACUUUCCAUAAAUAUGUUUAUAUCAAAAUAGCAUUCCUCAAUAAAUCUAAAGAAUAGUGAAUGUUUUGCUAAAUAAUUAAGUUUACUUUUUAGCGCUACCUGACAAAAGAAGCCUCAGCUUAUCUAACAAUGACAAAGGCCCCUCCAGUGGGGUAUACGUGGCUAUUGGUGUCACUGUAACACUCCUUGUUGUAGCUGUGUCUGUGAUCGUUGUUCUAGUGUAUGUAAUUCAAAAACUGAGAAAGCAAGUCUCACAACGGUAUAUUAGUGAACCAGAACCACCUUCAGACCAUAAUGAAAUGACAGAAUCACGGGAUUAUGACAAACUAGGGGUCCGCCAUGUUGACGAGUACAUGGAGAUUACUGCCAUCGAUUGUCAAACUCCCCGAGACAGUGUAUCAAACUAUGUAAAUGAAACAUUAAGAUGACAACCAGGAUACAACAAUUGAAAUUAUACAAAUUCUGAUUAAUUGAAAUGAAAUGUUUUCAAUCCAAGCAUAUUUUUAAUCUGACAUUCAAAUAAUCAGAACAAAAGCCUCUCAUUUCUAAACAAGUGGUUAUACCGAAGAGGUAUGUGAAUAUAAACGAAUAUGAUUGUAUAUAUCAAGGCGUGUCUCACCACGAGACAUAUUCCCCCUGUACCUGAACAUACCAUAUGUUUCAAUAUGUAGGUAAUACAUAUAUUUCUUUUAAUCUAUUGAAAAUGAAUACUACAAGGCUAUAAUCAAAGUGUUAAUAAUAUACUGUUAUUCAUGGACAACUAAAUAAUUUAUACUUUGUGAAUAUGUAUUUGCUCUCACUGGUGAUAUGUUACUUCACUCUUUCUGUUUUUGUAUGUUAUUGAUUUCCCAUGUGGCUUCAUUAUUCAGUAUUAAUCCCACCAACGUGAAUAAAUAGUUCUACAAUG